rnacentral:rRNA from 1 species
GAUUAACGCUGGCGGCGCACAUAAGACAUGCAAGUCGAACGGAAGUCGUUAUAACUCAGAACGAAGAUUUAUCUGAGGGACGAGAUAUAACAAUGGCUUUAGUGGCGGACUGGUGAGUAACACGUAAGAAACCUGCCUAUUAGAGGGGAAUAACAACGAGAAAUCGUUGCUAAUACCGCAUAAGCUAGUAGUACCGCAUGGUACAGCUAGAAAAGGAGAAAUCCGCUAAUAGAUGGUCUUGCGUCCGAUUAGCUAGUUGGUGGGGUAACGGCCUACCAAGGCAACGAUCGGUAGCCGAGCUGAGAGGCUCAACGGCCACAUUGGGACUGAGAUACGGCCCAGACUCCUACGGGAGGCAGCAGUCGGGAAUAUUGCGCAAUGGAGGAAACUCUGACGCAGUGACGCCGCGUAUAGGAAGAAGGUUUUCGGAUUGUAAACUAUUUUAGACAGGGAAGAAAUUGACAGUACCUGUAGAAUAAGCUCCGGCUA